AAUGAACGUUGGCGGCAUGGGUUAGGCAUGCAAGUCGAGCGAGAAGUGUAGCAAUACACGGAAAGCGGCGGAAGGGAGAGUAAUACGUGGGAGCCUGCCCUUAGACCUGGGAUAGCAGCGGGAAACUGCUGGUAAUACCAGAUAAUGUCUAUGGACCAAAGGUGUGAUUCCGUCUAGGGAUGAGCCCACGUCCUAUUAGCUAGUUGGUAGGGUAAUGGCCUACCAAGGCGAUGAUGGGUAGCGGGUGUGAGAGCAUGACCCGCCUCACUGGGACUGAGACACUGCCCAGACACCUACGGGUGGCUGCAGUCGAGAAUCUUCGGCAAUGGGCGCAAGCCUGACCGAGCGAUGCCGCGUGCGGGAUGAAGGCCUUCGGGUUGUAAACCGCUGUCGAGGGGGAGCAACUUCCAUAGAGGUAUCUUUAUGGAUUGAGUGAUCCCUGGAGGAAGGACGGGCUAAGUUCGUGCCAGCAGCCGCGGUAAGAC
rnacentral:rRNA from 1 species